GUGCUCGCUUCAGCAGCACAUAUACUAAAAUUGGAAUGAUACAGAGAAGAUUAGCACAGCCCCUGCAAAAUGCUUUAUGGUUGCCUCCUGGAACUGGAAUGUUCUUUU
ensembl:snRNA U6 U6 spliceosomal RNA